CCUACGGGUGGCAGCAGUAGGGAAUCUUCCACAAUGGGCGAAAGCCUGAUGGAGCAACGCCGCGUGGGUGAAGAAGGUCUUCGGAUCGUAAAACCCUGUUGUUAGAGAAGAAAGUGCGUGAUAGUAACUAUCCACGUUUCGACGGUAUCUGACCAGAAAGCCACGGCUAACUACGUGCCAGCAGCCGCGGUAAUACGGAGGGGGCAAGCGUUAUCCGGAAUUACUGGGCGUAAAGGGAACGCAGGCGGUCUGUUAAGUCUGAUGUGAAAGCCUUGGGCUUAACGGGGGAAGUGCAUUGGAAACUGGGAGACUUGAGUGCAGAAGAGGAGAGUGGAACUCCAUGUGUAGCAGUGAAAUGCGUAGAUAUAUGGAAGAACACCAGUGGCGAAAGCGGCUCUCUGGUCUGUAACUGACGCUGAGGUUCGAAAGCGUGGGUAGCAAACAGGAUUAGAUACCCGAGUAGUC
rnacentral:rRNA from 1 species